AGUGAACGCUGGCGGUAGGCCUAACACAUGCAAUUCGAACGGCAGCACAGGAGAGCUUGCUGUCUUGGUGGCGAGUGUCGGACGGGUGAGGAAUACAUCGGAAUCUACUUUUUCGUGGGGGAUAACGUAGGGAAACUUACGCUAAUACCGCAUACGACCUACGGGUGAAAUCAGGUGAUCUUCGGACCUCGCGCGAUUGAAUGAGCCGAUGUCGGAUUAGCUAGUUGGCGGGGUAAAGGCCCACCAAGGCGACGAUCCGUAGCUGGUUUGAGAGGAUGAUCAGCCACGCUGGAACUGAGACACGGUCCAGACUCCUACGGGAGGCAGAAGUGGGGAAUAUUGGACAAUGGGCGCAAGCCUGAUCCAGCCAUACCGCGUGGGUGAAGAAGGCCUUCGGGUUGUAAAGCCCUUUUGUUGGGAAAGAAAUCCAGCUGGUUAAUACCCGGUUGGGAUGACGGUACCCAAAGAAUAAGCACCGGCUAACUUCGUGCCAGCAGCCGCCGUAA
rnacentral:rRNA from 1 species